UCAUUAUAUUUUUGAGUACAUUCAUGAGC
rnacentral:sRNA from 1 species